rnacentral:rRNA from 1 species
ACUAGGGAAUAGCCCGUCGAAAGACGGAUUAAUGCCCUAUGUUGUUCUAUGCAGACAUCCAAAUAGAACUAAAGAUUCAUCGGUAUCGGAUGGGGAUGCGUCUGAUUAGGCAGUUGGCGGGUUAACAGCCCACCAAACCGACGAUCAGUAGGGGUUCUGAGAGGAAGGUCCCCCACAUUGGAACUGAGACACGGUCCAAACUCCUACGGGAGGCAGCAGUGAGGAAUAUUGGUCAAUGGGCGGAAGCCUGAACCAGCCAAGUAGCGUGCAGGACGACGGCCCUAUGGGUUGUAAACUGCUUUUAUACGGGGAUAAAGUGCGCCACGUGUGGAGCAUUGCAGGUACCGUAUGAAUAAGGACCGGCUAAUUCCGUGCCAGCAGCCGCGGUAAUACGGAAGGUCCGGGCGUUAUCCGGAUUUAUUGGGUUUAAAGGGAGCGCAGGCCGGAAGCAAAGCGUGCCGUGAAAUGUAGAUGCUCAACAUCUGAAUUGCGGCGCGAACUGGUUUUCUUGAGUGCAUACGAGGUAGGCGGAAUUUGUGGUGUAGCGGUGAAAUGCUUAGAUAUCACGAAGAACUCCGAUUGCGAAGGCAGCCUACCAGGAUGUAACUGACGCUAAAGCUCGAAAGUGCGGGUAUCGAACAGGAUUAGAUACCCUGGUAGUCCGCACGGUAAACGAUGGAUGCCCGCUGUUGGCGAUAUACAGUCAGCGGCCAAGCGAAAGCGUUAAGCAUCCCACCUGGGGAGUACGCCGGCAACGGUGAAACUCAAAAGAAUUGACGG